UACGGGGGGGGCAAGCGUUGUUCGGAAUUACUGGGCGUAAAGGGCGCGUAGGCGGUUUGCUAAGUUGGAUGUGAAAACUCUGGGCUUAACCCAGAGCCUGCAUCCAAAACUAGCAGGCUAGAGUUCUGGAGGGGAUAGCGGAAUUCCUGGUGUAGCGGUGAAAUGCGUAGAUAUCAGGAGGAACACCGGUGGCGAAGGCGCUCUGCUGGACCAUAACUGACACUCAGGGACGAAAGCUAGGGGAGCGAAUGGG
rnacentral:rRNA from 1 species